UACGGGAGAUGAACGGGACCUUCGCGCCCGU
rnacentral:sRNA from 1 species